rnacentral:tRNA from 1 species
GCAGUGAUUGCUAAGCUUGGUCAACGGCGCUGGGAUGAGGUCCCAGUCUCUAAGAGUUCGUAGGUUCAAAUCCUACUCACUGCA